GUACGCCAGAGCCCGGGGAGUUGCUCAAUACAGCGCUUCUCCUGCGUGGCCAAUGGAGAGCCGGAGACUUGUCUUCCCGAAGGCGCUGCAACUGCGGCGUGGGACUGCAUGCUGGGAAUUGUAGUUCCGCACUGUGGAUUCUCUGAUUGGAAAGUCUAGCCACCUGGGACAUGAGAGACGUGAAAAUUCAGACUUAAAGAGUGCACAUUUGCCUUUGAUCAUCUUACAGGGAUUGUAACUUCUUUUGAUGUCUACUAGCAGCUCCAGAAUUAAAUCCUCAACAGAAGAAGAGUUUCUUUCUUCCUAAGAAUUGUGUCUAGUCCUGAGUCACCUGCUGGAGCCAGAGAUGGAUCACACCAUGUGAACCGCGUGAGCUGAGAAUAGGAAGGAAUGAUUCCCAAGGGGAAAUCGAGAGCUGUUGCCAAAAGAAGGGGAAUGGAUGCUGGUGAGAGGGGCAUAAGCGCACACUGUGUACUACAGCACAUGUGUUGAUACUGAAAAGGUGAUCUGCUGUAACCAUGGGGACUUGGUGUAACCCCUUUUCAUGAUGAUUAUUCUCUCAUGCACCAUAUUUCCUACAACAAAUGGCUGUAUUUUUUUCUUUUAAUUUUGAAAAGAAUAAAAAAGGAAAAUGCAAAGAACAAUGCAACCAUCACCCAAGGCCCCUCUACCUAGAAUUCGUAAAUGUUAACAUUUUGCCAC